AAACAAAAAGGCACAGCCUGGGGCUUUUACACUUCGUUUAUAAUCUUCCCCAAUUUCCUGCAAGUCCAUAAAUUGUUAUUAUCGCAGAGCGCUUGGGCGGGCAGACAAAUCGAGGUGGAGAGGACUGAAUGUGGCUAAUCGGAUCAAAAUUAGUCUGGAGAAAGGUCAUGGAGAAGUGUUUCCCUCGGAGCGUCGUGGAGCAAUAAACUACUGGCCGCCAUGCUGCUUGCCGUUAAGCUUUGAAAUUAGACGUUCCGUCACAAGCAGCAGCUCUCACCUGAGUAUUGGAUUACCGAAACAAAAGAUGAAUAAUUAAUAGAGAGAAAUAGGUUCCUGGCAACAGGAAUGUAA